ACAGUGGUAGUUCAGUGGUGAAUUCUCGCCUUCCAUGCAGGAGACCUGAGUUCGAUUCCCAGCCAAUGCA
rnacentral:tRNA from 1 species